rnacentral:pre_miRNA from 1 species
CAUGUACUCCCUCCGUUCGGAAUUACUUGCCGCAGAAAUGGAUGUAUCUAAACGUAUUUUAGUUCUAGAUACAUCCAUUUCCGAGACAAGUAAUUUCGAACAAAGGGAGUAGCUA